rnacentral:rRNA from 1 species
UAAGCGACUAAGCGUACACGGUGGAUGCCCUGGCAGUCAGAGGCGAUGAAGGACGUGCUAAUCUGCGAAAAGCGUCGGUAAGGUGAUAUGAACCGUUACAGCCGGCGAUGUCCGAAUGGGGAAACCCAGUGUGAUUCGUCACACUAUCGUUAACUGAAUACAUAGGUUAACGAGGCGAACCGGGGGAACUGAAACAUCUAAGUACCCCGAGGAAAAGAAAUCAACCGAGAUUCCCCCAGUAGCGGCGAGCGAACGGGGAGCAGCCCAGAGUCUGAAUCAGCUUGUGUGUUAGUGGAACGGUCUGGAAAGUCCGACGGUACAGGGUGAUAGUCCCGUACACCAAAAUGCACAGGCUGUGAACUCGAAGAGUAGGGCGGGACACGUGGUAUCCUGUCUGAAUAUGGGGGGACCAUCCUCCAAGGCUAAAUACUCCUGACUGACCGAUAGUGAACCAGUACCGUGAGGGAAAGGCGAAAAGAACCCCGGCGAGGGGAGUGAAAAAGAACCUGAAACCGUGUACGUACAAGCAGUGGGAGCACCUUCGGGUGUGACUGCGUACCUUUUGUAUAAUGGGUCAGCGACUUAUAUUCUGUAGCAAGGUUAACCGUAUAGGGGAGCCGCAGGGAAACCGAGUCUUAACUGGGCGUUAAGUUGCAGGGUAUAGACCCGAAACCCGGUGAUCUAGCCAUGGGCAGGUUGAAGGUUGGGUAACACUAACUGGAGGACCGAACCGACUAAUGUUGAAAAAUUAGCGGAUGACUUGUGGCUGGGGGUGAAAGGCCAAUCAAACCGGGAGAUAGCUGGUUCUCCCCGAAAGCUAUUUAGGUAGCGCCUCGUGAAUUCAUCUUCGGGGGUAGAGCACUGUUUCGGCUAGGGGGUCAUCCCGACUUACCAACCCGAUGCAAACUACGAAUACCGAAGAAUGUUAUCACGGGAGACACACGGCGGGUGCUAACGUCCGUCGUGAAGAGGGAAACAACCCAGACCGCCAGCUAAGGUCCCAAAGUCACAGUUAAGUGGGAAACGAUGUGGGAAGGCACAGACAGCCAGGAUGUUGGCUUAGAAGCAGCCAUCAUUUAAAGAAAGCGUAAUAGCUCACUGGUCGAGUCGGCCUGCGCGGAAGAUGUAACGGGGCUAAACUGUGCACCGAAGCUGCGGCAGCGACACGAUGUGUUGUUGGGUAGGGGAGCGUUCUGUAAGCCUGCGAAGGUGGCCUGUGAGGGUUGCUGGAGGUAUCAGAAGUGCGAAUGCUGACAUAAGUAACGAUAAUGCGGGUGAAAAGCCCGCACGCCGGAAGACCAAGGGUUCCUGUCCAACGUUAAUCGGGGCAGGGUGAGUCGACCCCUAAGGCGAGGCCGAAAGGCGUAGUCGAUGGGAAACAGGUUAAUAUUCCUGUACUUGGUGUUACUGCGAAGGGGGGACGGAGAAGGCUAUGUUAGCCGGGCGACGGUUGUCCCGGUUUAAGCAUGUAGGCGGAGGUUCCAGGUAAAUCCGGUACCUUUUUAACGCUGAGGUGUGAUGACGAGGCACUACGGUGCUGAAGUAACAAAUGCCCUGCUUCCAGGAAAAGCCUCUAAGCAUCAGGUAACAUUAAAUCGUACCCCAAACCGACACAGGUGGUCAGGUAGAGAAUACCAAGGCGCUUGAGAGAACUCGGGUGAAGGAACUAGGCAAAAUGGUGCCGUAACUUCGGGAGAAGGCACGCUGAUAUGUAGGUGAAGCCCCUGCGGGUGGAGCUGAAAUCAGUCGAAGAUACCAGCUGGCUGCAACUGUUUAUUAAAAACACAGCACUGUGCAAACACGAAAGUGGACGUAUACGGUGUGACGCCUGCCCGGUGCCGGAAGGUUAAUUGAUGGGGUUAUCCGUAAGGAGAAGCUCUUGAUCGAAGCCCCGGUAAACGGCGGCCGUAACUAUAACGGUCCUAAGGUAGCGAAAUUCCUUGUCGGGUAAGUUCCGACCUGCACGAAUGGCGUAAUGAUGGCCAGGCUGUCUCCACCCGAGACUCAGUGAAAUUGAACUCGCUGUGAAGAUGCAGUGUACCCGCGGCAAGACGGAAAGACCCCGUGAACCUUUACUAUAGCUUGACACUGAACAUUGAGCCUUGAUGUGUAGGAUAGGUGGGAGGCUUUGAAGCGUGGACGCCAGUCUGCGUGGAGCCAACCUUGAAAUACCACCCUUUAAUGUUUGAUGUUCUAACGUUGGCCCCUUAUCGGGGUUGCGGACAGUGUCUGGUGGGUAGUUUGACUGGGGCGGUCUCCUCCCAAAGAGUAACGGAGGAGCACGAAGGUUAGCUAAUCCUGGUCGGACAUCAGGAGGUUAGUGCAAUGGCAUAAGCUAGCUUGACUGCGAGCGUGACGGCGCGAGCAGGUGCGAAAGCAGGUCAUAGUGAUCCGGUGGUUCUGAAUGGAAGGGCCAUCGCUCAACGGAUAAAAGGUACUCCGGGGAUAACAGGCUGAUACCGCCCAAGAGUUCAUAUCGACGGCGGUGUUUGGCACCUCGAUGUCGGCUCAUCACAUCCUGGGGCUGAAGUAGGUCCCAAGGGUAUGGCUGUUCGCCAUUUAAAGUGGUACGCGAGCUGGGUUUAGAACGUCGUGAGACAGUUCGGUCCCUAUCUGCCGUGGGCGCUGGAGAAUUGAGGGGGGCUGCUCCUAGUACGAGAGGACCGGAGUGGACGCAUCACUGGUGUUCGGGUUGUCAUGCCAAUGGCAUUGCCCGGUAGCUAAAUGCGGAAGAGAUAAGUGCUGAAAGCAUCUAAGCACGAAACUUGCCCCGAGAUGAGUUCUCCCUGAGACUUUAAGUCUCCUGAAGGAACGUUAAAGACGAUGACGUUGAUAGGUCGGGUGUGUAAGCGUAGCGAUACGUUGAGCUAACCGAUACUAAUGAACCGUGAGGCUUAACCU